UAUUCUAUCCCACUGUUCUGAUUAUUGUUGGUGUCUCUGCUGCCUUAUUCACUCAAAUUAAUGCUAUCGCGGCCAGAACGGGUUUCCUGGUCUGAUUUCUGCUCCUUGCGGCUCCACCGUUCUGUUUCUCUGUAGCUGUAUUACUGUCAUUGCAAUUCAUAUUGACACGGUUGUUAUAAGAGGUGUCAGGGCUGUUGUUGUUUCCAUGGGGGUUAUUGUUGUCACUGUCGCCAUGAAUUGAAAGAAAAGGGAAUUAUCACGAUAAGUUACGUGGACUCAGCUAACUGAGGUUGAAAACUCGAUACUCUGUUGACCCUACGAUGUA